GAUGAACGCUGGCGGCGUGCCUAACACAUGCAAGUCGAGCGAACAGACGAGGACUUUGUUCCUUUGACGUUAGCCGCGGACGGGUGAGUAACAUGUGGAUAAUCCACCUAUCAGACUGGGAUAACUUCGGGACACCGUAGCUAAUACCGUAUAAUAUAUUUAACCGCAUGGUUUAUUUGUGAAAGACGGCUUUGCUGUCUCUUAUAGAUGGCUCCGCGCUGGAUUAGCUAGUUGGUAAGGUAACGGCCUACCAAGGCAACGAUGCGUAGCCGACCUGAGAGGGUGAUCGGCCGCACUGGAGGUGGGACACGGUCCAGAGUACUGCGGGAGGCAGCAGUAGGGAAUCUUCGGCAAUGGGCGGAAGCUUGACGGAGCGGGGCCGCGUGAGUGAUGAAGGUCUUCGGAUCGUAAAAAUCUGUUAUGAGGGAAGAACAAAUGUGUAAGUGACAAUAGACGUAGUGACGGUACCUAAUCAAGAAGCCACGGCUAACUACGUG
rnacentral:rRNA from 1 species